rnacentral:rRNA from 1 species
GACGUAGGGCGCGAGCGUUGUCCGGAUUUAUUGGGCGUAAAGAGCUCGUAGGCGGCUUGUCGCGUCGUCCGUGAAAACCUGCGGCUCAACUGCAGGCUGGCGGUCGAUACGGGCAGGCUGGAGUUCGGUAGGGGAGACUGGAAUUCCUGGUGUAGCGGUGAAAUGCGCAGAUAUCAGGAGGAACACCGGUGGCGAAGGCGGCAUCCUGGACCGACACUGACGCUGAGGAGCGAAAGCCAGGGGAGCAAACGGG